GUUUCAUAGCUCAGUCAGUAGAGCAUGAGACUCUUAAUCUCAAGGUCAUGGGUUCGAUUCCCAUGUUGGGCA